CUUUCCAUCUUUUCUUCUCUCUUUCAUCUCACUCGUUUCAUUCUCUAUAUAUUUUAUUAUGUAAUCUUAUACAAUACUGAUCGUAAAUGUUGUGCUAGGGUUUCAUUUCUUAGAAGAAAUUUACUGUGUGUUCCACAAUAUCCGGUCCGUUCAGAAAAACAGACCCUACAGCGAGUGAGAGACAUCAACAAUAGGUGCCAGAAAGACAGUUUGCAUCCCAAGACCUGCGAGGGGAGCUUUCCUUGAAUCAGAUUGUAGGUCUGAAAUAACACAGCUUCAGUCACAUCAAAUGGCACAAGGUAUUGGAAGACAAUCCUUUUCCUUUUGAGAUCAGGGCAUGAUGUGAGAUAAAAUGUUUAAGAAGCUACCCUGUGUGACUUCAGUUGAUUAUUAAAAUCCCAGCUGGUGUGCCAAGUUAAAGUAAAGGUUAUGGAGCUCAGCCUACCUUCAUCAGCUGUCUCUCAGUGCUUCUCUCUGGUGUCAUUGUGUUUCUGUAUCUCGGAUCCGAACUGGAUUGAAGUCUACAAUGCAAGUGACUCCCAGGAUGUACAUAUAUAUGGAGUAGUUUAUACCUGGACUCUUGCCCACAAUAUUACUGAUCAAGGUAAACUAUUUCCUAGAACUUCAUGACAUCAAGUCUUCUUCUAGACUCAUUGAGGACACUGCAAAAGACUGGCUUGAUCCUGCUGUUUUUACUGGCAUCUUCCUGCUACAUUGGUGUACUUACAUCAAGUGGAGUCUUCCUGCUGGACUUGCUGGGUGGCAAAAAAGCUUGUCCUGGACUGUCCCGUUCACUGCACAUUCUCAUGGUGCUGCUGUGCUUGUGUGUGGUCUCUGUUGGAGGAGCCUGUUUUUAUGUUAUCACAUACAAUAUCAGGAAGACUGACCUCUCAACCAAGGGUUUUAUAGUCAUAUUUGGGGAGAGCUAUUAUAUUUCUCUGUUUGCACUUGCCUUUUCCUGCUUGGCGAUGGGCUUCAGUCUUCGGCAUGAGGAUACACAGCAGGCACAACUGGAGGGUUACCAGGUGAUUGAAGAAAGUGAGGCACAGUGCAGCUCGACCAGCUUGCAAAGGACAGGAAGUGAAGUGGCAUAUACAAAUUCAUAGCACUGAUGCCUCUCCAAAUUUUAUAUUCCUAUCCUGAGAGCACCAGUUGCAGAGAGUUUGAGAAACUUUUGCAGAUAUGUUUUGAUUCAACUUAUUUUAUAGAAAUUCUUUUUCUUAGGUAAUUAUGUGGUGUUGUUCCUUUAUGUUUAAAUGUGGUUUAUAUUUAAUGCUCUCUCUCUGUCUAUGUAGAGUGAGAGGGAGAGAAUGAGAAUAAAAUUUUGAAAUUGUGAAUUUACUUGCUAAGAGAUCAUCUUGAUAUUAAACCAUACUACAGCAAAUGCUACCUUAGAGCAUUGCACAUUUUACAAUAUUCAGCAUCAAUGUAUUAUUGUGUUCAACUGGAUCAUAGAGAGAUGAACCAAAAAACAAUAUAAGCUCUUAUAAAUUCAUAUUAAAUACCGAGCAUCAAAUAUGGCGAAUUUCACUUACUGUAUGCUUUAUGCCUUACUGACAUAGUUUCAAAAGUAUUAAAAUAACUAAUUUUCCUUUAUGAAGUAAACAGAGAAUAUUUUCACUGCUUCUGCUCCUCAGGUCUUCUACGAUGCAAAAGAAAGUGAUAUGUUACUGUACAUUUUUAUAAAAGGAACAAUAAUUGUAUACUUUGUUAAUGAAUAACUAAUGUGAUGAAGUUACCAAAAGUAUACCUUGACCUCCCUUGUCAUGCUAAAUUGACCCUUAACUGAUUUGUGCAAAAAGAAGAAUUUUAUUUGCUCAAUCCCAAAGAAGAAAAAUUCCUUUAGUUGAUUAUACUGAAGGAAACACGAAUACUGAUAAGGAAAACUAAUGUUAAACAAAGGUGAAGAAUUUUAAAUAGCUUUACUUUUGUGAUUUACAAUGGUGUUUAGAAAUAAAGUAAUACUGAUACACUGUAAAUUGUUUUCCAGGGGGACUGCAGUCUGCAGUCACCUCUUUAAAUUAAUUAAAAUCUUUCAGGCCUAACAGGUAUGGGCUUCUAAGUUAAUAGCAAGCGCUCUGUUUUCUAAAUAGAGGGACCAGUCUUUCUUUUAAAACAUUAACUUUUUCCAUCCUAUUGAGCCAAGGGAUUCAAUCGUGGCAGGUUAGCUUGUUUAAAAAUAAAAAAUUAUAUUGCUAAGUAAGGAUUAAGAUGAUAAUAGAUUGAUCUGUUUUGAAGUGGCAUUCAUAUUUCUCAAGUUCACUUGGCUAUCCUAUAUUAAUUAUACUGAACAUUUUUUUAAAAUUAGGAAUAUUAAAAUUAAUGUGUGAGUGUAUGGAAAGUGAUUAAAAUGGUUGUUGCAUGAUUUUCAUAUUGUCAUUUUUUUGUGUAAAGGCCUUUAGUUAAUAGCAAAGGUGUGAUAACUUUGUUUGGGAUUAUUAAAAUGUUUUUAUUGAUUUCCUUCUCUGCAGUCUUUAAAAAUUAACCACAAAAACAUUACUUUAACUUAAUCUGAAUUGUAUGUGCCUUUAUGUUCUGUUUUGUUUGAUUUUUUGCUUUUAAUGUAAUGUUAAUAAAAAUCUGGUUUCUUAA